rnacentral:rRNA from 1 species
AUUGAACGCUGGCGGCAGGCUUAACACAUGCAAGUCGAGCGGUAGCACAGGGGAGCUUGCUCCCUGGGUGACGAGCGGCGGACGGGUGAGUCAUGUCUGGGAAACUGCCUGAUGGAGGGGGAUAACUACUGGAAACGGUAGCUAAUACCGCAUAACGUCGCAAGACCAAAGAGGGGGACCUUCGGGCCUCUUGCCAUCAGAUGUGCCCAGAUGGGAUUAGCUAGUAGGUGGGGUAAUGGCUCACCUAGGCGACGAUCCCUAGCUGGUCUGAGAGGAUGACCAGCCACACUGGAACUGAGACACGGUCCAGACUCCUACGGGAGGCAGCAGUGGGGAAUAUUGCACAAUGGGCGCAAGCCUGAUGCAGCCAUGCCGCGUGUGUGAAGAAGGCCUUCGGGUUGUAAAGCACUUUCAGCGAGGAGGAAGGUGGUGAGCUUAAUACGUUCAUCAAUUGACGUUACUCGCAGAAGAAGCACCGGCUAACUCCGUG